UACGUAGGGUGCGAGCGUUGUCCGGAAUUAUUGGGCGUAAAGAGCUUGUAGGCGGUUUGUCGCGUCUGCUGUGAAAUUUCGGGGCUCAACCCCGAACUUGCAGUGGGUACGGGCAGACUAGAGUGUGGUAGGGGAGACUGGAAUUCCUGGUGUAGCGGUGAAAUGCGCAGAUAUCAGGAGGAACACCGGUGGCGAAGGCGGGUCUCUGGGCCGAUACUGACGCUGAGGAGCGAAAGCGUGGGGAGCAAACAGG
rnacentral:rRNA from 1 species